AACGAACGCUGGCGGCAGGCUUAACACAUGCAAGUCGAACGCCCCGCAAGGGGAGUGGCAGACGGGUGAGUAACGCGUGGGAACAUACCCUUUUCUACGGAAUAGCUCUGGGAAACUGGAAUUAAUACCGUAUACGCCCUACGGGGGAAAGAUUUAUCGGGGAAGGAUUGGCCCGCGUUGGAUUAGCUAGUUGGUGGGGUAAAGGCCUACCAAGGCGACGAUCCAUAGCUGGUCUGAGAGGAUGAUCAGCCACAUUGGGACUGAGACACGGCCCAAACUCCUACGGAAGGCAGCAGUGGGGAAUAUUGGGCAAUGGGCGCAAGCCUGAUCCAGCCAUGCCGCGUGAGUGAUGAAGGCCUUAGGGUUGUAAAGCUCUUUCACCGAUGAAGAUAAUGACGUUAGUCUGAGAAGAAGCCCCGGCUAACUUCGUG
rnacentral:rRNA from 1 species